rnacentral:tRNA from 1 species
GCACUGGUGGGUCAGGGGUAGAAUUCUCGCCUUCUGCGUGGGAGACCUGGGUUCAAUCUCUGACCAGUGCA